rnacentral:rRNA from 1 species
UGAUUUUAGGUGCUUGCACCUGAAAGAUUUAACAUUGAGACGAGUGGCGAACUGGUGAGUAACACGUGGGUAACCUGCCCUUGAAGUAGGGGAUAACACUUGGAAACAGGUGCUAAUACCGUAUAACAACCAAAACCACCUGGUUUUGGUUUAAAAGACGGCUUCGGCUGUCACUUUAGGAUGGACCCGCGGCGUAUUAGCUUGUUGGUAAGGUAACGGCCUACCAAGGCGAUGAUACGUAGCCGACCUGAGAGGGUAAUCGGCCACAUUGGGACUGAGACACGGCCCAAACUCCUACGGGAGGCAGCAGUAGGGAAUCUUCCACAAUGGACGAAAGUCUGAUGGAGCAACGCCGCGUGAGUGAUGAAGGGUUUCGGCUCGUAAAACUCUGUUGUUGGAGAAGAACAGGUGUCAGAGUAACUGUUGACAUCUUGACGGUAUCCAACCAGAAAGCCACGGCUAACUACGUGCCAGCAGCCGCGGUAAUACGUAGGUGGCAAGAGUUGUCCGGAUUUAUUGGGCGUAAAAGCGAGCGCAGGCGGUUUUUUAGGUCUGAUGUGAAAGCCUUCGGCUUAACCGGAGAAGUGCAUC